rnacentral:lncRNA from 1 species
GACAUAAAUAAUCAUCAAUUCAAUAGUAUAUCACCAUAUCCACCUUUCAUAACUCAAUUACCAUAUCCACCUUCCAUAACUCAAUUACUAUAUCCACCUUCCAUAACUCAAUUACCAUAUCCACCUUCCAUAAUUCAAUACAACCAAACCAUGCAAAAUAGUCCAUAACCCUAUUUCCAUCACCUUUCAAUAACAACCAAUACAUAUAAUCCUCUAUCACACAUAUACAUAUGGAAA